rnacentral:rRNA from 1 species
GACGAACGCUGGCGGCGUGCUUAACACAUGCAAGUCGAACGGAAAGGCCCUGCUUUUGUGGGGUGCUCGAGUGGCGAACGGGUGAGUAACACGUGAGUAACCUGCCCUUGACUUUGGGAUAACUUCAGGAAACUGGGGCUAAUACCGGAUAGGAGCUCAUGCUGCAUGGUGGGGGUUGGAAAGUUUCGGCGGUUGGGGAUGGACUCGCGGCUUAUCAGCUUGUUGGUGGGGUAGUGGCUUACCAAGGCUUUGACGGGUAGCCGACCUGAGAGGGUGACCGGCCACAUUGGGACUGAGAUACGGCCCAGACUCCUACGGGAGGCAGCAGUGGGGAAUAUUGCACAAUGGGCGGAAGCCUGAUGCAGCAACGCCGCGUGCGGGAUGACGGCCUUCGGGUUGUAAACCGCUUUCGCCUGUGACGAAGCGUGAGUGACGGUAAUGGGUAAAGAAGCACCGGCUAACUACGUG